GAUGAAGAACGUAGCGAAAUGCGAUAAGUAAUGCGAAUUGCAGAAUUUCCGUGAGUCAUCGAAUCUUUGAACGCACAUUGCGCCCACUGGUAUUCCGGUGGGCAUGCCUGUUCGAGCGUCAUUAUCCUCCCUCAAACCCCGGGUUUGGUGUUGGACCGAAGUUGUGUGAACAACUGGUCUAAAAAACAAUGACGGCGUCCGUGGGACCCUCGGUGCAACGAGCUUUUAGGAGCACGCGCCGAAUUGCAAGGACCUUCCGGGCCGGUCUCCUUUUACUAUUUUACAAGGUUGACCUCGGAUCAGGUAGGAAUACCCGCUGAACUUAAGCAUAUCAAUAAGCGGAGGA
rnacentral:misc_RNA from 1 species